CGAACGCUGGCGGCGUGCUUAACACAUGCAAGUCGAGCGGUAAGGCCUUUCGGGGUACACGAGCGGCGAACGGGUGAGUAACACGUGGGUGAUCUGCCCUGCACUUCGGGAUAAGCCUGGGAAACUGGGUCUAAUACCGGAUAUGACCUCCUAUCGCAUGGUGGGUGGUGGAAAGAUUUAUCGGUGCAGGAUGGGCCCGCGGCCUAUCAGCUUGUUGGUGGGGUAAUGGCCUACCAAGGCGACGACGGGUAGCCGACCUGAGAGGGUGACCGGCCACACUGGGACUGAGACACGGCCCAGACUCCUACGGGAGGCAGCAGUGGGGAAUAUUGCACAAUGGGCGAAAGCCUGAUGCAGCGACGCCGCGUGAGGGAUGACGGCCUUCGGGUUGUAAACCGUCUUUCAGCAGGGACGAAGCGCAAGUGACGGUACCUGCAGAAGAAGCAACGGCUAACUACGUGCCAGCAGCGCGGUAAUCUGAUGGCG
rnacentral:rRNA from 1 species